UGGGGAAUAUUGGACAAUGGGCGAAAGCCUGAUCCAGCAAUGCCGCGUGCAGGAUGAAGGCCCUCGGGUUGUAAACUGCUUUUGUACGGAACGAAAAGCCUGGGGCUAAUACCCCCGGGUCAUGACGGUACCGUAAGAAUAAGCACCGGCUAACUACGUGC
rnacentral:rRNA from 1 species